rnacentral:rRNA from 1 species
GAUGACGCUGGCGGCGUGCCUACACAUGCAGUCCAGCGGUAACGGGUCUUUCGUUGCUCUGGUAGGGGCAGACGGGUGACGAUACAUCGGAGUGUGCCUAACUGUGGGGGAGUCUUCUCCCCGAGUGGCUACGACCGCUUGCACUCUAUGGCCCGGAGCAGGGGACCUUCCGGCCUUGAGAUUUUUUGUUAGCAGAUGACCCAGUAUCGUAUUGGUGAGAUGGGGGGUACCAGGCCAACCAUCACUACCUGGCCUGAGAGGACGAUCAGCAUGACCGGAACUGAAACACCGCCCACACUCCUACGACUCCUACGGGAGGGGAAUUUUGGAAAUAUGGGCACAAUGCCUGAUCCCUCUGAUGCCGCGUGCGCGAUGAAAGCAUCAGAUUGUCAGUGCUUAUACUCGGUAUGAAUGAGAAGAAGUGACAGCAUUGUAUUCGUGUGGUACCACAGACAAUGACGGGCUCACUACUUGCGGCCAGCCGCGGUAAUAA